rfam:Lupinus angustifolius cultivar Tanjil chromosome LG02, whole genome shotgun sequence.
GAUGGAACAAUGUAGGCAAGGGAAGUCAGCAAAAUGGAUCUGUAACCUUGGGAAAAUGGAUGCAUUGGUUGUUGGUGGAUUGCUCGAAGUGCUCUCGCAACGAGAGUUGGUCGCUGUGUGCUGGUCGGGGGACAAAUUGGGAACGGGCCCUUUGGGGCCUCUUCCUUGGGCUUCGAACAGUAGACUCAUGACUGGUACAGACAAGGGGAAUCUGACUGUUUAAUUAAAACAAAGCAUUGUGAUGGUCCCUGUGGAUGUUGACGCAAUUUGAUUUCUACCCCGUGCUCUCUGAAUGUCAAAGUGAAGAAAUUCAACCAAGCGCGGGUAAACGGUGGGAGUAACUGUGACUCUCAUAAGGUAGCCAAAUGCCUUGUCAUCUAAUUAGUAACACACGUGAAUGGAUUAACUAGAUUCCCACUGUCCCUGUCUACUAUCCAGCGUAACCACAACCAAGGGAACAUGCAUGGCAGAUUCAGCGGGGAAAGAAGACCUUUUUGAGCUUGACUCUAGUCCGACUUUGUGAAAUGACGUGAGAGGUUUAGGAUAAGUGGGAGUUGGAAACAACAGAAGUGAAAUACACUACUUUAAACAUUAUUUUACUUAUUCUGUGAAUCAGAGGCGGGGCACAACCCAUUUUUUUGGACCCAAGGCCAGCCUCAGGCGAUCGAUCUAGGCCGAAGACAUUGUUAGGUGGGGAGUUUGGCUGGGGCGGUACACCUGUUAAAAGAUAAUGCAUGUGUUCUAAGAUGGACUCAACGAAAACAAAAAUAUCGUGUGGAACAAAAGGGUAAAAGCUCAAUCGAUUUUGAUUUCCAGUACGAAUAUGAACCGUGAAAGCAUGGCCUAUCGAUCCUUUAGUCCUUCGAAAUUUGAAGCUAGAGGUGUCAUAAAAUUUGCCACAGAGAUAACUGGCUUGUGGUAACCAAGCGUUCAUAGCGACGUUGUUUUUUGACCAAGUGUUGAAUUGUUCACCCACCAAUAGGGAACGUGAGCUGGGUUUAGACCGUUGUGAGACAGGUUAGUUUUAUCUUACUGAUGACAGUGUUUGGCUCGAUGAUCAUGGUCAUCGAACUUUAAUCACGCAACCCUUCCCAUGUUCGCCAUGUUCAUUUCGGCCCCGACGUUAAAUUAUGGUUCUUGUGUUGCCUACCCGUUAAGUGGUAUUCAUGCGCCUCUUAUGACCUGUUCCAUCCAGCUCCCUUCUAAAGGUCAUUGGAGGAUUCAAAAUUGAUGUGUGUGAUGUGUUAGUUGUGAAUUGUGAUGGCUUGUGUUCUCAAAUGUGUCUAGUGUUCCCUUGGAUACGGUGCAUAU